AAGGAAGAGAAAUGCUAUUGCCUUAUCAGCAAAUCAUUUCCCACAGGCUUUUUGUUCACCUGCUGCAGAGAACAUAGUGAGCUAUGUAUGGGGAAAGCUGCUGAGGAUACACUGUUUUCUUCUCUCUGUACCUGGAUCAUGUUUGGUGCAGUAGUAGGACCCUUGGAAACCUAGGUCUUAUUCUUCUGACACUUGGAAAAAAUAGACACUGAAAGAGGAACAACAAGCAAACCAAUCAAAAACAUAUUUUCCUAAAAUAUGCAUAAACUUUCCCUUCCAGUAAGAAAAUACCCUAAGGACAUUGGGUCUCGGCACUGAAUCCAAGCCUUUAGAAACAGGAUGCGUAAGGCAAACAACGCUGCCAAGGUCACAUGCCACGUGCUUGUGUUGCCUUCAUCCUUGGAGGAAAUGCUGGGGCCACCAGGAAGAUCCCUGCUCCUGUGACAUUUCAGGGACACGCCAGGAGGAGGAGAACCAGGAUGCUUCUCUCAGUCUUGCUGGGCUGCACGAGUGCCUCCCAGUCUGCUGUGGCCACAGCUGAACAGGUGAAUGUCAGCAGGUCAAUCUACCAGCAGAGAGGAGGAGAGAGAAGAAUAUGGGCUGCUCUAAACCAGUCCCAUUUGGCACCAGUUUUCUGAGGCAAAGUCCACAGCAAAACACAACCACUGCUAAGGACCAGGGCAGCGAUGGGCCCAGGAUGAUCCAUUCUGCUUUCAACCACAGCCUGUAUUCACUGGGGAAAAUAGAUGGUGUUCAGUCAGAAGGGGACAAUUUAUAACUAUAUUUUUGGGGAUGCAAUUGUUCUUUGGCAGGAUUACUUUGGAUGAUUUCCUUGCUCUUCUCUGCAGCAUGUCCUUCAGCAGAGAGUUGCAGAAAGGCCUCACAGUGCAACUAAAUGUGACUGAUGGAAGAACCGUCGAUCAUUUCUUGUUUUGGCUACAGUCUUUGCAAAAACUUCCUAGAAAACUUUCAGUUAUCUAGAGAGGGGUGGGGAAGAGAAAGUGUGUUUAAAGGAGGACAAUGUAGACAGCAGUGCACGAAGACAGGACUGCUCCUGAGACCAGGCUGGCAAAAGCAGCCAGGACCCACUGGAGACAACUUAGACAGGACCACACGGGAGCCAUCAGCCAGGCUGGACUGAAAUUUCUCUGCAAUAGCCCUGGGAGUGACCAGUCCUCAGCUUGCUGCAGUGGUCAUUGAUUUCAAAGGUCUUCAGUGAGCUUUAAAACCCUGCACUGAUGUACUGGGGGUCACCCUGUACUAAAUUUUUUUUUUCCUGUGUUCUCAGUAUAUUUUAUCAGCAUUACUACAGCAAGGUCUGCUCUCAUCACCACAACAUCAGAGACCUACAGCAUCUAUAAAGCUGCAUUUCACUGCAAAGAGUGUCUGCUCUGUUUGGCAAUGCCCCUUCCCUGUGACGUGAUUUAAGCAGAUGGUGCUGCAAGAAGAGCGAGCGCUGAGGACACUGACCUCUGGCUGCCUCCUCGCUCUGGGUAAAUCCACAUUCGUGUAUUACAGAUCUCAGUGGCCAAAAGAGGAGAAAUUGUCAAUGUGCAAAAUUUCAUUAACUUGCAAGGCAGCAAGACAGAGUCCCCCAGGCCAAACUGCAAAUCUGCAAAUGAUAGUGUAAGGUAGAGGUGAAUAAUAAAGCAAUAGAAAAGGAGAACAGAGGGAACAGUACUGACUGUUCCCAUCACUCCUUGCUGAGGCUGCUCUGAGUGUCCACUGAAACUCCCAGGAGCACAGCCCUGGUUUUGGGUGAGUGGCAGCACUCUGCACCCAGCUUCUCCAGGCCUCCCUCUGUGCAGGAGAUAUGUUGGCAUUGUCACAGCUGCACACUGCAGGAAGAAGGCUGCACAAGGAAGAAAACCUUACUCUAUUGCAGCCCUGAAUACUUCUAAGAAGAGAAACCACUACCUAGCCUAGUGUCUGCACUUCUGCUCUGCUGCCUCAAAAGGCCUUGGCUCCAGCUGAGAAAACUGUCCAGAAAGGAUCCAGGGCAAGUGGGAUUCAGUGGAAGUUUGAAGAGAGAGCUCCUUCUGCCAUGGUUUUUCUCUAUUUCACAAUGGGCUCAAGCAGCACAACUGGGGAGGAUCAUCAUGGGACCAAGACUGCAAAGAUUCCAUCACUUCAGCAACAAGAGACUGAAGAGCCCUCCAAAUGUCUGUCUUCAGACAGAAGAUCUCUCUGUUUUUUGCAGUCAUUGAAUUCAAACUCAGCAUCCAGAAACUGAUCAGCCACUUGCCAUUGAGGAGGAGGAACCGUGCACACUGAUGAGAUUUGAGAUCAACAGCAAUUUGGAGAGGAGACUGUAGCUGAGGAGAGAAUGAAGGUACAGGAGAUUUCAUAAAAACAAAAUAAAAUGUCCAUUUACAAUGGAAAGACUCACUAUUGAAGACCUUGCUUACGCACAAGUAUCAAGCUGAAUCCUACAUUUGAUUCUUCUGCCUUCAUCUAAUGAUCAAGUGUAAAAGAGCCACAGUAAUCUGAAGGUAUGGUUCCUGGAAAACACACCCAAUUUCUUCUUACCAGAUAA